rnacentral:rRNA from 1 species
UACAGAGGUCCCAAGCGUUGUUCGGAUUCAUUGGGCGUAAAGGGUGCGCAGGCGGCCAAGUGUGUGAGGCGUGAAAGCCCGAUGCUUAACAUCGGAAUUGCACCUCAAACUACAUGGCUAGAGCAUUGGAGAGGGUAGCGGAAUUCACGGUGUAGCAGUGAAAUGCGUAGAUAUCGUGAGGAACACCAGAGGCGAAGGCGGCUACCUGGACAAUUGCUGACGCUCAGGCACGAAAGCGUGGGGAGCAAAAGGG